CUGCAGGAGCAAAAGGUUAAAACUAUCUAAAUGUCAGCCAGGCGCAGUGGCUGGGAGGUUGAGGCAGGAGAAUCGCUUGAACCAAGGAGGCAGGAGGUUGCAGUGAGCCGAGACUGAGCCACUAUACUCCAGCCUGGCAUCAGAGCAAGACUCUGUCUCAAAAAAACAACAACAACAACAAAAAAAAAACUAAAUAUCUAGCUGUAGGGGAGUAGUUAAAUAAACUGUGGCAUAUCCAUGUAACAAUGCUGUGAAACUGGAAUAAAUAAAUAAACAAAACAUAGAAGCCCAUGAAGCCAUCAAGUCACUUCCUGAACAGCUCCCCUUUUUCUCGAAUUGUGUUUGUUUAAAUGAAUUUGGAGCUGCCCAUCCCAGCUUGGAAGACUGGCCGAGAAAGGGGCACAUUUUG
rnacentral:lncRNA from 1 species